GAUUUCUGCCUUGGUGCGCGCUGUCCGUUGCGGUUACGUGACGUGUGCAGUAGCGCGCCUGUCAUACUUCUGGAUUUUGAUGUUGCCCUUCACUGGGUGAUGUCGCUAUCUAGAUCUUUUACUUUGAAAAAAUUAGAGUGUUUCAAGCAGGCUUUAUGCUAUGAAUACAUUAGCAUGGAAUAAUAAUUUAGGACUUCGGUUCUAUUUUGUUGGUUUCUAGGACUGAAGUAAUGAUUGAUAGGGAUAGUUGGGGGUGCUAGUAUUCAGCGGCCAGAGGUGAAAUUCUCGGAUUCGCUGAAGACUAACUUAUGCGAAAGCAUU
rnacentral:rRNA from 1 species